AGCGAACGCUGGCGGCAGGCCUAACACAUGCAAGUCGAACGAAGUCUUCGGACUUAGUGGCGGACGGGUGAGUAACACGUGGGAACGUACCUUUUGGUUCGGAACAACUCAGGGAAACUUGAGCUAAUACCGGAUGAGCCCAUAGGGGGAAAGAUUUAUCGCCGAAAGAGCGGCCCGCGUUAGAUUAGCUAGUUGGUGAGGUAAAGGCUCACCAAGGCUACGAUCUAUAGCUGGUCUGAGGGGAUGAUCAGCCACACUGGGACUGAGACACGGCCCAGGCUCCUACGGGAGGCAGCAGUGGGGAAUCUUGCGCAAUGGGCGAAAGCUUGACGCAGCCAUGCCGCGUGAAUGAUGAAGGUCUUAGGAUUGUAAAAUUCUUUUACCAGGGACGAUAAUGACGGUACCUGGAGAAAAAGCCCCGGCUAACUUCGUGCCAGCCGCCGCAGUAAUAC
rnacentral:rRNA from 1 species